rnacentral:rRNA from 1 species
UACGAAGGGGGCUAGCGUUGCUCGGAAUCACUGGGCGUAAAGGGUGCGUAGGCGGGUCUUUAAGUCAGGGGUGAAAUCCUGGAGCUCAACUCCAGAACUGCCUUUGAUACUGAAGAUCUUGAGUUCGGGAGAGGUGAGUGGAACUGCGAGUGUAGAGGUGAAAUUCGUAGAUAUUCGCAAGAACGCCAGUGGCGAAGGCGGCUCACUGGCCCGAUACUGACGCUGAGGAGCGAAAGCGUGGGGAGCGAACAGG